AAGAACUUUGAAAAGAGAGUU
rnacentral:misc_RNA from 1 species